rnacentral:rRNA from 1 species
AUUGAACGCUGGCGGCAUGCCUUACACAUGCAAGUCGAACGGCAGCGGACCUUCGGGUGCCGGCGAGUGGCGAACGGGUGAGUAAUAUAUCGGGAACGUACCUUUCAGUGGGGGAUAACGUAGCGAAAGUUACGCUAAUACCGCAUAUUCUGUGAGCAGGAAAGCAGGGGAGUCGCAAGACCUUGCGCUGAUUGAGCGGCCGAUAUCAGAUUAGCUAGUUGGUGAGGUAAAGGACUCACCAAGGACGACGAUCUGUAGCGGGUCGUGAGAGGAUGAUCCGCCACACUGGAACUGAGACACGGUCCAGACUCCUACGGGAGGCAGCAGUGGGGAAGUUUUGGUACAAUGGGCGGCAAGACCUGAUCCAGCCAUGCCGCGUGAGUG